rnacentral:lncRNA from 1 species
GUGGAUGAUGUAGAUGAAAUGGUCCGAAUAAUGGAAUGGUUCAAGCUUGAGUCUGAUUUCGGAUAACACUUGCUAAGUCGGGCUGGCGACUUUAAAACUAGAGCUUGGUGGGAGGCAACCCACCGUUGGUUUAGUUCUUGUUUUUGUUUUUCUUAUUUUUUGUUUUCCGUUUUUGUUUCGUUUCCAAGUCAUUGGUUGCUUGUUCGGUUGCUAUGACUCUUGGUGUUAAUUUUUUUGUUUCCAGCGCUGCAAUUCCCCUUUGACAUUGCUGCCAGCG